GAUGAACGCUGGCGGCGUGCCUAAUACAUGCAAGUCGAGCGAACGGACGAGAAGCUUGCUUCUCUGAUGUUAGCGGCGGACGGGUGAGUAACACGUGGAUAACCUACCUAUAAGACUGGGAUAACUUCGGGAAACCGUAGCUAAUACCGGAUAAUAUUUUGAACCGCAUGGUUCAAAAGUGAAAGACGGUCUUGCUGUCACUUAUAGAUGGAUCCGCGCUGCAUUAGCUAGUUGGUAAGGUAACGGCUUACCAAGGCAACGAUGCAUAGCCGACCUGAGAGAGUGAUCGGCCACACUGGAACUGAGACACGGUCCAGACGCCUACGGGAGGCAGCAGUAGGGAAUCGUACGCAAUGGGCGAAAGCCUGACGGAGCAACGCCGCGUGAGUGAUGAAGGUCUUCGGAUCGUAAAACUCUGUUAUUAGGGAAGAACAUAUGUGUAAGUAACUGUGCACAUCUUGACGGUACCUAAUCAGAAAGCCACGGCUAACUACGUG
rnacentral:rRNA from 1 species